UGAAAUGUUAACUAGUGAUUUUCCUUU
rnacentral:piRNA from 1 species